AAUAUAAAGUCUAACCUGCCCACUGAGAUAUUAAAGGGCCGCAGUAUUUUGACUGUGCAAAGGUAGCAUAAUCAUUUGUCUUUUAAUUAAAGACUAGAAUGAAUGGUUGAACGAAGUAUUAACUGUCUCAUUUUUAAAAUAUUAAAAAUUUAUUUUUUUAGUCAAAAAACUAAAAUAAUUUUAAAAGACGAGAAGACCCUAUAGAUCUUUAUAUAUUUUAUCUAUAUAAAAAAUAGGAGAUAUAAAUUAUUAUAUAUUAUAAAUAUAUUUUAUUGGGGUGAUAGGAAAAUUUAAUUAACUUUUUUUAUAAUUAUAUACAAUGAUUUUUGAGUAAUUGAUCCAAUAUUAUUGAUUAAAAAUUUAAGUUACCUUAGGGAUAACAGCGUAAUUUUUUUUGAGAGUUCUUAUCGAAAAGAAAGAUUGCGACC
rnacentral:rRNA from 1 species